rnacentral:rRNA from 1 species
UGACGUUAGCGACAGAAGAAGCACCGGCUAACUCCGUGCCAGCAGCCGCGGUAAUACGGAGGGUGCGAGCGUUAAUCGGAAUUACUGGGCGUAAAGCGCAUGCAGGUGGUUUGUUAAGUCAGAUGUGAAAGCCCGGGGCUCAACCUCGGAAUAGCAUUUGAAACUGGCAGACUAGAGUACUGUAGAGGGGGGUAGAAUUUCAGGUGUAGCGGUGAAAUGCGUAGAGAUCUGAAGGAAUACCGGUGGCGAAGGCGGCCCCCUGGACAGAUACUGACACUCAGAUGCGAAAGCGUGGGGAGCAAACAGGAUUAGAUACCCUGGUAGUCCACGCCGUAAACGAUGUCUACUUGGAGGUUGUGGCCUUGAGCCGUGGCUUUCGGAGCUAACGCGUUAAGUAGACCGCCUGGGGAGUACGGUCGCAAGAUUAAAACUCAAAUGAAUUGACGGGGGCCCGCACAAGCGGUGGAGCAUGUGGUUUAAUUCGAUGCAACGCGAAGAACCUUACCUACUCUUGACAUCCAGAGAACUUUUCAGAGAUGAAUUGGUGCCUUCGGGAACUCUGAGACAGGUGCUGCAUGGCUGUCGUCAGCUCGUGUUGUGAAAUGUUGGGUUAAGUCCCGCAACGAGCGCAACCCUUAUCCUUGUUUGCCAGCGAGUAAUGUCGGGAACUCCAGGGAGACUGCCGGUGAUAAACCGGAGGAAGGUGGGGACGACGUCAAGUCAUCAUGGCCCUUACGAGUAGGGCUACACACGUGCUACAAUGGCGCAUACAGAGGGCAGCAAGCUAGCGAUAGUGAGCGAAUCCCAAAAAGUGCGUCGUAGUCCGGAUUGGAGUCUGCAACUCGACUCCAUGAAGUCGGAAUCGCUAGUAAUCGUGGAUCAGAAUGCCACGGUGAAUACGUUCCCGGGCCUUGUACACACCGCCCGUCACACCAUGGGAGUGGGCUGCAAAAGAAGUAGGUAGUUUAACCUUCGGGAGGACGCUUACCACUUUGUGGUUCAUGACUGGGGUGAAGUCGUAACAAGGUAGCGCUAGGGGAACCUGGCGCUGGAUCACCU